rnacentral:rRNA from 1 species
GACUCUCGGCAACGGAUAUCUCGGCUCUCGCAUCGACGAAGAACGUAGCAAAAUGCAAUACCUGGUGUGAAUUGCAGAAUCCUGUGAACCAUCAAGUUUUUGAACGCAAGUUGCGCCCGAGGCCUUCCGGCCGAGGGCACGUCUGCCUGGGCGUCA